GUAGUCCAUGCCGUAAACGUUGGGCACUAGGUGUGGGGCCAGUUCCACUGGUUCUGUGCCGUAGCUAACGCAUUAAGUGCCCCGCCUGGGGAGUACGGCCGCAAGGCUAAAACUCAAAGGAAUUGACGGGGGCCCGCACAAGCGGCGGAGCAUGCGGAUUAAUUCGAUGCAACGCGAAGAACCUUACCAAGGCUUGACAUGUACGAGAAAGCCCCAGAGAUGGGGUUCUCUUUGGACACUCGUACACAGGUGGUGCAUGGUUGUCGUCAGCUCGUGUCGUGAGAUGUUGGGUUAAGUCCCGCAACGAGCGCAACCCUUAUCCUAUGUUGCCAGCGGGUCAUGCCGGGGAC
rnacentral:rRNA from 1 species